GACGAACGCUGGCGGCGUGCCUAAUACAUGCAAGUUGAGCGCUGAAGGUUGGUACUUGUACCAACUGGAUGAGCAGCGAACGGGUGAGUAACGCGUGGGGAAUCUGCCUUUGAGCGGGGGACAACAUUUGGAAACGAAUGCUGAUACCGCAUAAAAACUUUAAACACAAGUUUUAAGUUUGAAAGAUGCAAUUGCAUCACUCAAAGAUGAUCCCGCGUUGUAUUAGCUAGUUGGUGAGGUAAAGGCUCACCAAGGCGAUGAUACAUAGCCGACCUGAGAGGGUGAUCGGCCACAUUGGGACUGAGACACGGCCCAAACUCCUACGGGAGGCAGCAGUAGGGAAUCUUCGGCAAUGGACGAAAGUCUGACCGAGCAACGCCGCGUGAGUGAAGAAGGUUUUCGGAUCGUAAAACUCUGUUGGUAGAGAAGAACGCUGGUGAGAGUGGAAAGCUCAUCAAGUGACGGUAACUACCCAGAAAGGGACGGCUAACUACGUG
rnacentral:rRNA from 1 species